rnacentral:rRNA from 1 species
UUCGCAAUGCCCGAAAGGGUGACGAAGCGACGCCGCGUGGGUGAAGAAGGCCUUCGGGUUGUAAAGCCCUGUCAGGAGUUAUGAAAUGUAGGUGCGAUAAUACCGUGCCUAUUUGACAAAGGCUCCAAAGGAAGCCACGGCUAACUCUGUGCCAGCAGCCGCGGUAAUACAGAGGUGGCAAGCGUUGUUCGGAAUUAUUGGGCGUAAAGAGCACGUAGGUGGAUUUGUAAGUCAGGUGUGAAAGCCAUCUGUUCAACGGAAGAAUUGCAUCUGAAACUACAAACCUUGAGUGUAGGAGGGGAGAAUGGAACUUCUGGUGGAGCGGUGAAAUGCGUAGAUAUCAGAAGGAACGCCGGCGGCGAAAGCGAUUCUCUGGCCUAUUACUGACACUGAGUGUGCGAAAGCUAGGGGAGCAAACGGGAUUAGAUACCCCGGUAGUCCUAGCCGUAAACGAUGGGCACUAAGUAGAGGGGUUUU